rnacentral:rRNA from 1 species
AUUGAACGCUGGCGGCAUGCUUUACACAUGCAAGUCGAACGGCAGCGCGGGCUUCGGCCUGGCGGCGAGUGGCGAACGGGUGAGUAAUGCAUCGGAACGUGCCCAGUAGUGGGGGAUAGCCCGGCGAAAGCCGGAUUAAUACCGCAUACGACCUGAGGGUGAAAGCGGGGGACCGAAAAGCCUCGCGCUAUGGGAGAGGCCGAUGUCGGAUUAGCUAGUUGGUGGGGUAAAGGCUUACCAAGGCGACGAUCCGUAGCUGGUCUGAGAGGACGACCAGCCACACUGGGACUGAGACACGGCCCAGACUCCUACGGGAGGCAGCAGUGGGGAAUUUUGGACAAUGGGGGCAACCCUGAUCCAGCCAUGCCGCGUGCGGGAAGAAGGCCUUCGGGUUGUAAACCGCUUUUGUUCGGGAAGAAAUCCUCUGGGCUAAUACCCCGGGGGGAUGACGGUACCGGAAGAAUAAGCACCGGCUAACUACGUG